CCCACUUGUCCUUGCCUGCUUAUGCAUC
rnacentral:piRNA from 1 species